AAAUAGAUGGCGCUAAAGAAUAUUGUGUUGAUAUGUGCUAAUUAUGGCGGCUCGUUAUCAACAGUUCAGCUAAAGCUAAUUUCUUCAAAAAUUACCAAAGAAUUCGUAGGAGAAAAUGUGAAAGUGGCAUGCAGCCUACCUGUCAACUAUUGUGUUGUAAAUCCUGGGAUCCUACUGAAUGUGUCAUCCAAAUGCGUAAAUGACAGAGGUUCUUAGAAUUUAUGAGAAGUCAUGUCCUUUGAAGAAAAAGGACAAUGGCAAUACAGUGGUAAACCCGAUUGCUGCUACCCUUGAAUAUCCCUUUUUAGUUGCUAAAACUAGCUAACUAACUAGCUAAAACGGGCCCUCUUGAUUUGAGGGGUAACUCCUUUGCUACUUUUAAUGGACUUCAUCCAAUUGGUAAAAGCUGACAAGAGAAUGCUGUGAUUCAAGACUGAUAGAUUGUGUAGUUGUUAGAUAAAUCACAAGUGUAUAUCUGGGCUCCCUUCUUUACUGUGGUCUGAUCUCCCUGGCUACAGUCAAUUAAGGCAGUGUGACCCCCGUCUUCAUUGACUACCUGUGCAAGUUUUAGAAGCAGUUUAUCACCCAAAUGAAACAAAAGGAGUUUGUUAGGCUUCUUUUAUUUGGGUAUAGUUGGUUUUAAAACUUGCACAGAAAAACAAUUGUCUUGUACCGGACGCUUUGUUUAUUAAAUUACAACCAUUUUGAU